AUUGAACGCUGGCGGCAGGCCUAACACAUGCAAGUCGAACGAGUGGCGGACGGGUGAGUAAUGUCUGGGAAACUGCCCGAUGGAGGGGGAUAACUACUGGAAACGGUAGCUAAUACCGCAUACAGUGGGAUGGCCCAAGAUGGGAUUAGCUAGUAGGUGGGGUAAAGGCUCACCUAGGCGACGAUCCCUAGCUGGUCUGAGAGGAUGACCAGCCACACUGGAACUGAGACACGGUCCAGACUCCUACGGGAGGCAGCAGUGGGGAAUAUUGCACAAUGGGCGCAAGCCUGAUGCAGCCAUGCCGCGUGUGUGAAGAAGGCCUUCGGGUUGUAAAGCACUUUCAGCGGGGAGGCGUUACCCGCAGAAGAAGCACCGGCUAACUCCGUGCCAGCAGCCGCGGUAAUAC
rnacentral:rRNA from 1 species